GAUGAACGCUGGCGGCGUGCCUAAUACAUGCAAGUCGAACGAGUUUUGGUCGAUGAACGGUGCUUGCAUCGUGAUUCAACUUAAAACGAGUGGCGGACGGGUGAGUAACACGUGGGUAACCUGCCCUUAAGUGGGGGAUAACAUUUGGAAACAGAUGCUAAUACCGCAUAAAUCCAAGAACCGCAUGGUUCUUGGCUGAAAGAUGGCGUAAGCUAUCGCUUUUGGAUGGACCCGCGGCGUAUUAGCUAGUUGGUGAGGUAACGGCUCACCAAGGCCAUGAUACGUAGCCGAACUGAGAGGUUGAUCGGCCACAUUGGGACUGAGACACGGCCCAAACUCCUACGGGAGGCAGCAGUAGGGAAUCUUCCACAAUGGACGCAAGUCUGAUGGAGCAACGCCGCGUGAGUGAAGAAGGCUUUCGGGUCGUAAAACUCUGUUGUUGGAGAAGAAUGGUCGGCAGAGUAACUGUUGUCGGCGUGACGGUAUCCAACCAGAAAGCCACGGCUAACUACGUGCCAGCAGCCGCGGUAAUACGUAGGUGGCAAGCGUUAUCCGGAUUUAUUGGGCGUAAAGCGAGCGCAGGCGGUUUUUUAAGUCUGAUGUGAAAGCCCUCGGCUUAACCGAGGAAGCGCAUCGGAAACUGGGAAACUUGAGUGCAGAAGAGGACAGUGGAACUCCAUGUGUAGCGGUGAAAUGCGUAGAUAUAUGGAAGAACACCAGUGGCGAAGGCGGCUGUCUGGUCUGUAACUGACGCUGAGGCUCGAAAGCAUGGGUAGCGAACAGG
rnacentral:rRNA from 2 species